UCUCUCUCUCUCGUGUAUAUAUAUAUUUAAAGAGAAAGAGAGGAGAGAAGAGGGAGGGUCGGAUAAAUGCUCGUGAACAAGCUCUUAUGGGUUCUUUUUUGGCAACUUCUUUAUUCCGCUUACUCUAAACUUGCCACCAAAGUUCCCUGUAAUUCUUUUUUUUGCUGCUUUUUAAGAAAUGCCAGUGGUGAUAUCCACGUAUUUCAUAUAUAAAAUCUGAAGUUUGAUAUUUCAACAAUUUUUUAUUAUAUUUCUUAAACAGAACGAACAGUGCUAUGGCGAUGGAAAUGCUUGGAAGGCUUGUGCUUUUGUGUUUGUUGUAUUUGUUUUUGAAUGAGCUGUCAAAAUAGUCCCCUAACUAUUUCCACGAGUCAUUCUAGAAUAUAUAAAAGUGUCAAAUUAAUCUCGAACUCUUUUUAUUGGAACUUAAAUAGUUUGGUGUGGUUGAUGAAUAAAUUCAACGUGGAAGGCGUUCUUGUUCCUAUACAAGAUGCUUCAGAGUUCUACUUUUCUCGAGCAAUUGCAAUGCAGCAACUUGGAUGGCCUAUGCUGCUGCAUUCAUGUCAUUGGUUGCGAAAAUGUGAUAACUCGUGUUUUUUUAUGGCAUCAAGGCAAAUAUGAGCUUCAUGUUUCCCAUUUUCUUUCCACUUUUGUCUUAGUGUCUUAUUUUUUACCCCUUUUUUACUGUAUUCAUCCUUGUACUGCAAGGUAAUGGACACCUAAACUAAAAUGCUAUGCAUAAAUACAUCAGUGAUGCUGGACUCCAGAAAAAAACUAUGGACUCAAAAGAAAACUUAGAGGAACUUCUGUUGGACUAUGAGGAAACAUGAUGGAAGGAAGGUCCCGCUUGAAGGAGAUUGCGGGACCUAUAGAGCUAGCUGAGCCAUGUUAACCGAGUUAAAAACUCAGAAGAGCUCACCCAAGGGAAGGGAAGGUAGGUUUCCCAAAACAUAUUCGACAAUCCAGCGGAGAUGAAAGCACAGCUGAUAGGAGGGCCGGCGGUAAUGAGACAGCAGGUUGUUAGUCUGUGCUUGUGCUCCUUAAGCUUCAUUAUGGAAAGCAAAAAUUGAGAGAGAUUUUAUUGCAGUUGAUUGACUCUUAUGUAAGUCUUCUUUCAUAUUGUACAGAUCGAGAAAAUAUUACAUCAGGACCCCAAAUACAGUUUGCGUUCGGAGUCCAAUGGCGGGGCGCCACAUAUCAAGUGGGUCCCACCGUAAUACAUUGGUUUUGGUCAGUGUUAAAAACGGUGGUGACCACUUGACACGUGUCGCCUCACCAUUGGAAUUCGAAUGCAUCAUGAGUCCUGAUGUAAUAUUUUUCCAGAUCAAGUCUCAUUAUCUCUACCGUUUAUUUUUAUCUUAUUUUUAUUAUUAUUAUGUUAUUGAUUCGAGCCUUCCUAUGUGCUUACUGGAAGUCUACUGAUUUCAAAAAUAUUGUGAUAUAAUAAUGAAGCGUUUACGUACAUAUCAAAUA